GGCCUCGUGGCGGAAUGGCAGACGCGGGGGAUUCAAAAUCCCUUGUCCGUAAAGGACGUGCGAGUUCGACUCUCGCCGAGGCCA
rnacentral:tRNA from 1 species